CCAGGGGACCGGGCGACCGCGGCGGAUUUGUCCGGCGAGGAAAGUCCGGGCUCCACGGAACGACGGUGCCGGGUAACGCCCGGCGGGGUUGCGGCUUUGGCCAAGACUUCAGGGAAAGUGCCACAGAAAGUAUACCGCCGGCUCUUGGGCUGGUAAGGGCGAAAGGGUGCGGCAAGAGCGCACCGCGCGGCCGGCAACGGGCGCGGCACGGCAAACCCCACCGGGUGCAAGACCGAAUAGGGGCGACAUGGUGUUUCGGCGCCGGAGGCUGUUCCGCCUCGUCGCCCGGGUUGGUUGCUUGAGCGGCAGGGUAAUCUGUCGCCUAGAGGAAUGGUCGCCCAGUCCCCGCUUUCGCGAGGAUGGACAGAACCCGGCUUACAGGUCCCCUGGCAUU
rnacentral:RNase_P_RNA from 1 species